ACACUGAUGGUGAAGUGGUUAUCAUGCUUGCCUUCCAUUGCAUAGAAGCUAUUGCAUCUGUCUGAAGCAAGCGGCAGGGGUUCUGCUUGCCUUCCAUUGCAUAGAAGAUAUUGCAUCUGUCUGAAGCAAGCGGCAGGGGUUCGAUUCCCCUUCAGUGUA
rnacentral:tRNA from 1 species